rnacentral:rRNA from 1 species
CAGGCCUACACAUGCAAGUCGAGCGGAUGACGGGAGCUUGCUCCUUGAUUCAGCGGCGGACGGGUGAGUAAUGCCUAGGAAUCUGCCUGGUAGUGGGGGACAACGUUUCGAAAGGAACGCUAAUACCGCAUACGUCCUACGGGAGAAAGCAGGGGACCUUCGGGCCUUGCGCUAUCAGAUGAGCCUAGGUCGGAUUAGCUAGUUGGUGGGGUAAUGGCUCACCAAGGCGACGAUCCGUAACUGGUCUGAGAGGAUGAUCAGUCACACUGGAACUGAGACACGGUCCAGACUCCUACGGGAGGCAGCAGUGGGGAAUAUUGGACAAUGGGCGAAAGCCUGAUCCAGCCAUGCCGCGUGUGUGAAGAAGGUCUUCGGAUUGUAAAGCACUUUAAGUUGGGAGGAAGGGCAGUAAGUUAAUACCUUGCUGUUUUGACGUUACCGACAGAAUAAGCACCGGCUAACUCUGUGCCAGCAGCCGCGGUAAUACAGAGGGUGCAAGCGUUAAUCGGAAUUACUGGGCGUAAAGCGCGCGUAGGUGGUUUGUUAAG